UAGAGCCCAGCCCAGAUUAGGGACAUGCGUUAUUCGUCUACUUCUUAACCGUAUGAUCGGCAUCGUAUCUCAACCAAGCAAGAGAUAAAAAAUAAAUGAAGGUUGAAAGAUAGAAUGGGAAUGCCUUGGCUGCCAUCCCUCCCGCAAAAUUAUUUUCAUCAGAGAAAAAGGCGAAAACAAAACUCAAUCCCUGAGGAUAAAUAAAAAACAAAAAACAAAAAAGAAACGGGAAAAUGAGAAACCCUAGGAGCCGGAUCGGAGGGAGAGAAGAAGAUGCAUCCUUACCCGUAAUCGGAACCCCCAAGGCAAGUCUUUCCACCCUAAAACGCCGUCGUUCCAUCAAAACGACGUCGUUCUUCUCCCAAGACGGUGUCGUUUCCCUGAAACGGCGUCGUUUUUUUUUUUCUUUUUUCUUUUUUCUUUUUUCUCUCUCAAAAAUUUAGAUUAAUUUUAGAUCUUCUCCGUGCGCUUUGGUGAGAAUUUCAGCCUUUAAAGGAUAUUAGAAGAAGAUGAGAGAAUGGAGUUAUAUAGUUGUCCUUAAAGAGGAAGUGGGGUGUUUUGGUUGUUCUUCUUCUCAAUAUAUUUGUGCAACUGUCGUGUACAGGGGGAGAGAGAAAGGAAAGGAUAAUAUAAAGAAAAUGUUGGGAAAAUUUUCCAAGUGUUUGUAUGUUGUGGAUGGAAUAGUGAAUGAAAUUGUCUUGUAUUCUAUUUUCAAUUUAUCAUCUGACAAACAGGAUUUAGAUUGUAAUUUGUAUAAACUUGGAACCCUAAAGAGGUUAAAGUCUUAGUAAAAUGGUGAGUGGUGUGGGGGUUGACACAUAUAUUUGGUUAAAUAUUCUGAAUAUUACAUGUAAACUAACUGUCCUUCUGAAGGACUGAGGUUGUGAAACAAGGUGUGUUCAGGUUCAGCACAUCUUCAGAAUUACUUCCUCAACUUGACAGCAGCCCAUAAAUCUCAUUUAUGGGGGUGUGAAGGGGAGAGGUAUGGGUUUGGCAAUUCAAGCUAUGGACACCUCAACUAGUUGGAAGUACCCAGGAGCAUCCAAAUCUGUUAAUUUUUAUAGGACUAGGAGUUGGAGUUUUCUUUUUCUUUGAAAUUUAACAUUUGUAUUAUUUAUUUAAAUGGGGUUGCUUUUUCUUUGCUCCUUUUUCCCUUGAAGCUCAUCUCUUGCUGCUUUUGGAUUUGUUUAUACCUAUAGGAAAAGUUCUCUCUUGAUUUAUCUUUAUCAUUGUUGAUAUAGAAAUUGAAUCAAAUACAACAUUGUUCCGUAUUGCUCUUUUUUUGUUCUUAUUUUUCAUUACAUACAUGUGUGAUCUAUUCUGGAUUAAAACCAGAAAACCCAAAUCUUCUAUUCUAUUUAAUGUUUGUGAUUUUGAAUUUUGCUCCAAUUCAUUUAGCUGAGAUCUUGUUUGCAUUGUCAAAAUGAAUUUUUCAGCUUUAGGUUAAAGAAGUUGCUCAAGUUGACGCAGAGUUGAUGUUUUUUAGUUGUAGUUUAGACAACUUUAUCAGUAAGCAAUGGACUUCUAUGUAACUAAUCCUGGGCCAAUUGAUGAAUCUGUACUUUAUGAUCAAGAUAAGCAUGUGUCAUCAGCAGUGUGGGAGGGGCAGGAGCGUGGUGCACUUAGAUGCCAUGAACACACUUCAAAACUUGAUCAAUGGGCACUCACUCCAAAACAGCUGGAGUUAGUACAUAAGGCUGGAUUUGGGUACUUAAGAUUAAUUCCUGCUAUUAGUUUAGACAAUCCACUUAUCUCUGCACUAGUUGAGAGGUGGAGGAGAGAAACAAAUACAUUUCACUUGAAUGUUGGAGAAAUGACAGUGACACUUGAAGAUGUUGCAUACUUGCUUGGACUAGCAAUUGAUGGUGAGCCUGUUAUGGGUGUAACAUACACCACAUGUGACACAGUAUGUGAAAAACUUUUAGGGAAAGCACCAGACUCUGGUUACACAAGUGGUGGGAUGGUGAAGUUAAGUUGGUUGAAAGAGUCCUUUUCUCAUUGUCCUGAAGACGCACCAAUGGAAGAGAUAGAGUGCCAUACACGUGCUUACCUGCUUUAUCUUGUUGGUAGUACUAUAUUUUCCACUACCACUGGCAAUAAAGUCCCUGUGAUGUACCUUCCAUUGUUUGAGAAUUUUGACCAAGCUGGGACGUAUGCUUGGGGUGCAGCAGCAUUAUCAUUCUUGUAUAGAGCACUUGGCAAUGCUUCCCUUAAAUCUCAAAGUACUGUUAGCGGCUGUUUAACACUAUUACAGUGUUGGAGUUACUAUCACCUGGAUAUUGGUCGACCAAAGCUUAAUCAAGACCCAUUCCAUGUUCCUUUUCCACUUGUACUUAGAUGGAAAGGAAAACAAAGUGCUCCAACAGCAAACCGUGAUUUAAUGUUCUAUCGUAAGGCAUUGGACUCCCUUAAGUCAUGUGAUGUUGAGUGGCUUCCUUACAUCAACAUUGACAAUAGGAUUAUACCAGAAGAUAUCAAGAGUAGUUUGAUUGUAGGGAGGUCAAAAACAAUGUUGAUAUGUUUUGACAAGGCAGAAAGACACCUCCCUGACCGAUGCUUAAGGCAAUAUGGCAUGAACCAGUCAAUCCCAGAAGAUGUGCAGCAGUGGGAAAGAAAGAGUCGUGGAGUUGAUGGUGGGGUAGACUUGUCAGGGAAAAUGGAACUAGAGCUUAAUGAAUGGUUGGACCGUCGACUUAAUAUUGUGGAAGGUGAUGAGGGUGUGGAAGAAAGUGAAUACAUGCAGUGGUACAUGAAAAUUACACGUAGAUUUGUAGGAAGACUUUUACCUUUAUCAUCCGAAUUUCAGAGAAUGCAUGCUGCUUUAAGGGAUAUUGCACACAUAGCUGAUACAGUCUCCACACAGGGGAUGGAUUCUCAGCAAAUGGAAUCAGUGACAAGGAUCAGGUAUAUUGUGCAUGAAUGUCUGAGGGACCAAGUUGGAACUUCAAUGCUAGUGUCGGGCAUCCCACAGGUUGAACAUAGGAAAAGAAUAAGGGGAAAAGAGAGAGUAAGAAGAAAGAGUAUUGGGAAACGUAAGCGGAAGGAUGAUCCAGUUCAAUGUCAAGCAACUAGUGAAGGUGAUCCAGAUCAAUCACAGCUGUGUAGUGCAGCUGGUGCGAUUGACUAUUCUCAGCUAUGUCUCACAGAUGGUGAGGUUGAUGAUUUACAGCUAUGUCAUGCAGGUAGUGCUGGUGUUGACGCACAGCUACACACAACUAUUGAGGUUGAUGGCACACCCCUUUGUCUUCCAACUGAUGAGGUUGAUGAUACAGAGACUUGUAUUGGAGUUACUGAGGUUGAUGACUCUCAGGUUUGUCAUGCGGCUAUGAAGGAUGAAGUACAAGCUGUUUCACAGUCACCUCUUGAAACUAGUGAGGAUGUUGUGCAGCAUAAUAGCUAUAGCAUUGUAGUAUAAGAAUGUGCAGCAUGUGGCCUCUGAUGUCAUAUUACUUCAGAAUCACUUAGAAAGGCAGCUCAGGAUGGACAUCACCAGUGUGUGAUAUGUGGCAGAGACAACCAUGAGUGCUUGCUCGGUUAGAAGUCUCUUCAACUUGUCUGAGAUUGGCUGUAAAUUUAUUUUGCCCGAAACAGAUGAGGUGUUGUUCUUGAGUUUAUUGUGUAAGCCACUAAGUAAUGUUCGAUAUUGCAGAAGGAUUUGGUUUCUUAUCCAAUCGUUUAAUUCUUAAA